UGCAGGCGGCUCGCUCUGCAGGAGCCCUGGCUCCCUCACUGCUACCUGAACACUUGAAGGAGCUAAAAUCCUAGGUUCUCAGAUCAAGGCAAAGGGUUCAAUAUGGCUUGGGAGAAAAGAGAAACUGUUUUGCGUUGUGGCUGGAAAACUCCUCUGAGUCAGGGGAUCGGGGUUGCUGGUUCCCAGAGUCUGAGUUUCUUUAUGAGAAAGCUGCUGAGAGCGGUGACAAGCUGGUAUCAUGAGUCUGUUCUUAUGUCAAAUCUCCUGCAGCAGGAUGUCUGUGCUGAAGAUGACUGCACACACAACCCAGAGGAUUAAAAAAUACACAUUACAAUCUGAGAAAAGAUGACCUCUCUUCUCUGUGCUCUUAGGAAGAGCAGAAAUGUCAUGUUCAACA